CUGCCUGAGGACUUCUGUCUGCACAAAAGUGUCAUGCCAGCACUAUCUUUCUCUCUGGCUCUCACUCUCUCAUUAGUAUACAGCCAGAACCACUGGAAAGUGUGCAGCUCCUUAAAAAUGCAUGGGAUCAGGAAGGAAUGGGGUACAGGAAUAUCAAUCAAGCUCAAUCGGCUGUAUGAACAGCAGGGGGGAGACAUAAACUUAAGAAAGAAGAUAGACUUCGUAUUACUGCCCUGGAGAUGUUGUAAUUUCACACACAGACUUCGCAUUGCAAAAACACCAGAUAGAGGGAGAUACAUGCUGUUUAUUAAGCCCAUGUGAGGAGAGACAAGAGCCUCUCAUGGAUCUAUUUAUGGAGGAAGCAGCUCGUAGUUGUUUGUAAAGGAGGGCAGAUUGUUCCUCUCCUCGCAUGAUUCACCAGGGCCAAAGUCAGCCGGAUUAGGGGACGAUCCGUUCCGAGAGACCCCUGCCAGGUCAACCCCUCACAGAUGGAUAUGUAUGAAGUGGCUGAGUUACGAAUGCCUGUCCUCUGAAAAAGUUUAGAGUGGCUGAAAGCACAAACGCUUCUCUUUGACACGGGUCAGGUGCCAAGCAUCAACAUGGAGAGAUUCAGCUCAAACGUGGAGCGAAACGGCUCUUAAUCAAUUGCAGAAACAAGGUGGCACAGUUGCAUUUCGCAGAGGUCUCCUCCACAGAACCUGUCUUUCCUCUUCUGGGUCUCUGUUCUCUGGUCCUCAAGCACUGGCUGCCAUAGCUACGGCUGUCACAUUCACAGGAGACACACCUGAGGACACAUGAAAAGACUCGGAGGAACUGGUUCCAGCUCAGGCGUCUGGUGGCUGGGAGCGCGGUGACAGUGAGACACGGCCCGCGCGUGGAAAAACUCCACCUCUGCGGUCGCAUCUGGCAGGACGGGGAGAUUCUGCGCUCAAGUGGAUCCCUGAAGUGGAACUGUACGUAUAACCGCCACAGUGGCAGGCCGCUUAUCGCACCACUGACUCAAACUUCAAGGAGUAAUGUACUUUCAACAUGAUGGGGAUGAUGUCCAACCACUGCAUCAUGUUCACAUUGUGACACACAUAAACGCAUGACUUUUUUACUUUCGGUGCUCUUUCAAGGGCAAACAGAGGUACCAGUGCUCCUUUUCCCUUCAAGACAAGUGCUAGUAGCAUUCACAAAAGGGACAGUUACUCUCCUACAUAAUUGAAUUACCAUGGCAUGGCAUAAUAAAUAUGCAGCUUAUCAAAGUUAUCAAUUUAUUAAAGUUCAAUUCUUUUUUUUCACCGUUUUUUUCACCGUUGCGUUGUUGUAAAUGGCUGUUUGUGAUUUUUGGCUAGGAGUUUGGAACGAGGGCUUUUUCUGCAAGGCGAGGAGUGGACUUGAGUUCUUUAAUUGUCUCCAGUUUUCUGUAUUUCUCUCUUGCAUUACGUAUGUGAAGGCAAACUAUUUGCAUAAAAUUUACGCUCUUCAUAAUAAAUGGCUUUGACAUUUCCAAUUGAUUAGCACUCCCUGUAGAAUUUGUCUGGCAAAAGCUAAACAAAAUUAUAAUGAUAGACUUCUUCAUCAUCGUCAUCUGAAUUGUUAUUACUGGAGAAAUGUUUCAGGUGAACUUGCUUGAGCCAGCACUCGACUAUUCCUAAUCAGGUUCCUGCAAAUAUGACUUGAUGUGUGCAAGUUUUAUUUAAUGUCUGAUUUAUAGCAGGGAAUUAUUUGAUAAGGAACACUCAUUGAAUGUAAUUAAAUGACAAUAAUCAUGGACAAUUAUGGGCAAUUAUCUUGAGAGCUAGGGAAAAGGAAGAAUUGCAAGGUCAAAUCACAUUCAGAAUUUUGAAAGCUAUUGUUUUACUGCAGAGAGGUUUUGAUCUGACGUGCUGAUUGUGCUGAAGACGCGACAGACCGAUGAAGAGCAACAUGAGCCCUCACCCUCAGGAUGCACCUCAUCACGGUGUCUGCUGGACCGCAUCAGACAUCUGAAAAUCACAUAUCGAGUUGUGCAAUGUAUAUCAUCUUCUGCUGAUGUACUCUUAGGGCGUGUCAAUUCAUCACUUAUUAGUACACUGUGUUUUUUUUUCUUGAUUACUUUUGACAAGAACAACUCUAAGUACAGGGGUGGCAUUGACAGAAAUGUGUUUCUCAGCGUAUUUCUUAUCACUCAGUUAGCCAUUUCCUUCGUCCUCCUCGUGUUACCGUCACUGUUGUGUAAGCAGAGCCUGGGCCAUGGAAGAGGAAGCUGACACAGUUCAGCCUUGGGUGUACCCUAUAGUCUACUCGUGCCAAGCACUUUCAACUCUUCAACCUCAACAGGAAC
ensembl:lncRNA